UUAAAAUGAGAGUUUGAUCCUGGCUCAGGAUGAACGCUGGCGGCGUGCCUAAUACAUGCAAGUCGAACGCGCUGUGGCAAUUAUUGAGAAGCUUGCUUCAAUUUAAUUGCAAUGCAGCGAGUGGCGAACGGGUGAGUAACACGUGGGAAACCUACCUCUUAGCAGGGGAUAACAUUUGGAAACAGAUGCUAAUACCGUAUAAUAACUUUUACCGCAUGGUGAAAGUUUGAAAGAUGGUUCUGCUAUCACUAAGAGAUGGUCCCGCGGUGUAUUAGCUAGAUGGUGAGGUAAUGGCUCACCAUGGCGAUGAUACAUAGCCGAGUUGAGAGACUGAUCGGCCACAUUGGAACUGAGACACGGUCCAAACUCCUACGGGAGGCAGCAGUAGGGAAUCUUCCACAAUGGACGAAAGUCUGAUGGAGCAACGCCGCGUGUGUGAUGAAGGGUUUCGGCUCGUAAAACACUGUUAUAAGAGAAGAACGUCAGUGAGAGUAACUGUUCAUUGAGUGACGGUAUCUUAUCAGAAAGGGACGGCUAAAUACGUGCCAGCAGCCGCGGUAAUACGUAUGUCCCAAGCGUUAUCCGGAUUUAUUGGGCGUAAAGCGAGCGCAGGCGGUUAUUUAAGUCUGAUGUGAAAGCCUACGGCUCAACCGUAGAAUUGCAUCGGAAACUGGAUGACUUGAGUGCAGUAGAGGAGAGUGGAACUCCAUGUGUAGCGGUGAAAUGCGUAGAUAUAUGGAAGAACACCAGAGGCGAAGGCGGCUCUCUGGACUGUAACUGACGCUGAGGCUCGAAAGUGUGGGUAGCAAACAGGAUUAGAUACCCUGGUAGUCCACACCGUAAACGAUGAAUGCUAGUUGUUAGAGGGUUUCCGCCCUUUAGUGACGCAGCUAACGCAUUAAGCAUUCCGCCUGGGGAGUACGACCGCAAGGUUGAAACUCAAAGGAAUUGACGGGGGCCCGCACAAGCGGUGGAGCAUGUGGUUUAAUUCGAAGCAACGCGAAGAACCUUACCAGGUCUUGACAUCUUUCGCUAUCUUAAGAGAUUAAGAGUUCCCUUCGGGGACGGAAUGACAGGUGGUGCAUGGUUGUCGUCAGCUCGUGUCGUGAGAUGUUGGGUUAAGUCCCGCAACGAGCGCAACCCUUAUCAUUAGUUGCCAGCAUUAAGUUGGGCACUCUAAUGAGACUGCCGGUGAUAAACCGGAGGAAGGUGGGGAUGACGUCAAAUCAUCAUGCCCCUUAUGACCUGGGCUACACACGUGCUACAAUGGAUGGUACAACGAGUUGCGAACCCGCGAGGGCAAGCUAAUCUCUUAAAGCCAUUCUCAGUUCGGAUUGUAGUCUGCAACUCGACUACAUGAAGUCGGAAUCGCUAGUAAUCGCGGAUCAGCACGCCGCGGUGAAUACGUUCCCGGGCCUUGUACACACCGCCCGUCACACCAUGAGAGUUUGUAACACCCAAAGUCGGUGGGGUAACCUUCGGGAGCCAGCCGCCUAAGGUGGGAUAGAUGAUUAGGGUGAAGUCGUAACAAGGUAGCCGUAGGAGAACCUGCGGCUGGAUCACCUCCUUUCUAAGGA
rnacentral:rRNA from 1 species